CUGAAAUCAGAAGUGUGUUCAUGUUGGACAAAUCAGAGUGAAUCAGCUGGCUGAAGGCCCAGCGGCUCGGACCAACAGGAGGACUUGGAGACACUGGAAGCCUGACCCUGGAUGGACUCAUGAGUGUCUCUGCACAGCUCUUGGCCCAGAAAGCUGUAUACUGCAGGGAUUUGAGAAGUCAGCUUCACAUACAGUUAGGUGGAAGUUAAAAGU
rnacentral:lncRNA from 1 species